rnacentral:rRNA from 2 species
CGACCCCAGGUCAGGCGGGGUUACCCGCUGGAUUUAAGCA